UAUAAUUAAAUAGGAUUAGAUAAACUAAAAAUACUUAAAUAUAAAAAUAUGUGUUAUUUGAACUUCUCCACCUCCUACCAAAGAACCCCUGUCAGCAGAGGAGGUGAAGGGGGAAGAGGCUCUGGGGACUGAGUCCAGGGAAGCCGGCUUCAAGUGCCAAGUGUUUGGCAAGUUUCUUGGGUCCUCAUGGUAACUCACGUGUAUAGGCUACCUUGAGGCUUGUCUUAGCCUGGCGUUCCAUCUGGAAAAAACAUAAAACUGAUUCUAAAAAGCAUUGAAAAGUGACAAAAGUCUGUUAAUGUUUCUUAAGGAGCCAUCACAGAGGUUUAUGGGCCACAAUACCUAACAAGAGUUCCCACAAAUCCACUCAGACCUCUCUCACACUCUCAUGUUCCCACUCCUCACAGGAACUCUCUCAUUGCUCUGUUCCCUCUCAAAUCCAAAACACGCUGUCCCUAGACUCAUUGCUCUCUUCCCCUCUGCUGUCCUUUUCCUUACUCCCGCCUCUAGAAUCCAUUUGUUCCUCCCUCCAAGUGGCUCCACUCCACUUCUUUAGAGCCAUGGUCCCUUCUUUGUGGUGGGAGGGAUUACCGGUCUGUGGUUAGAGUGUCCAUCCACCAAGACUCUGGUUCUCUUCCGCCUGAGCGUGAGGUAGGAUUUAACAUCCCUGGCCAUUCUCUUCCUUCAGCCAAUGGAACGUGAGCAGAAAUGACAUGUCAUUUCUAGGCAGAAGGCUUCAGGGGCUGGUAUGUGACUCCUGACCUUUCCUUCCCUCCGCAAACACUGUCAUUCCAGGUGGUGGAGCCUCCCUCAGCGUGCUUUCCCUCAGCGUGCUCGCUUGAGUGAAAAAACGUGAAGCCCUCCAUCCAACCACAGGGACCUGUGUUAGAACCUUUCCCUGGAUCUGUGUUUUUUCUUUAUUGGUUUACUCCCUUGUUUUGCUGAAGCUUCCUAAGUGGCUCAUAGGAAAGGAUGCAUGAGAGGUAAACUUUUGAAGCCUUCCUUGAA
rnacentral:lncRNA from 10 species